AGGCCAGGUGUGCCCUAGAAGGGGUCUGCGGCCGGGAAAGUUCUGUCCGGGUCCUUGCACCGCCCUCGGAAGGUCUUAGGUUGGCGGGCAUCUCCCACGUCUCGGAGCCCAAACGUGAGAAGUACACGGCUGAUUUCUUAAUUAUAUUCAUGCCAAGAGCUUUCAUUGUUGAGGUUCCUCAGUGCUGAACUAACAAGAGGGUACUUCCUUGAACAUAAUGAGGCCAAGUAUACAGAAAGAAGAGAAAGAGUAUACACUUGUUUGCGAAUACCAAGAGAAUUGGAAAAGCUGAUGGUUUUUGGAAUCUUUCUGUGCCUGGAUGCGUUUUUGUAUGUGUUCACCCUGCUUCCUUUAAGAGUUUUCCUGGCACUAUUCAGGCUCCUCACUUUGCCUUGCUAUGGCUUAAGGGACAGACGUUUGCUUCAGCCUGCCCAGGUGUGUGACAUUUUGAAGGGUGUCAUUUUGGUAAUCUGCUAUUUUAUGAUGCACUAUGUUGACUACUCCAUGAUGUACCACCUGAUAAGGGGGCAGUCCGUCAUCAAGCUCUACAUCAUCUACAACAUGCUGGAGGUAGCUGAUCGUCUGUUUUCAUCUUUUGGACAAGACAUAUUAGAUGCCCUCUAUUGGACAGCAACAGAGCCUAAAGAAAGAAAAAGAGCCCACAUUGGGGUGAUUCCUCACUUUUUCAUGGCUGUUCUCUAUGUCUGUA
rnacentral:sRNA from 1 species